UUUUUUUUUUCUUCCUCGAUUUGGUGUUUGGAAAUGUGGAUGUGAUUUUUUGAAUUUGAAUUUUGGGGUGCGUGCGUUUUUGGGUAAUUCUUGAUGGAGUAUGAGUUUACGGUGAA